rnacentral:rRNA from 1 species
AUUGAACGCUGGCGGCAGGCCUAACACAUGCAAGUCGAACGGUAACAGGAAGAAGCUUGCUUCUUUGCUGACGAGUGGCGGACGGGUGAGUAAUGUCUGGGAAACUGCCUGAUGGAGGGGGAUAACUACUGGAAACGGUAGCUAAUACCGCAUAACGUCGCAAGACCAAAGAGGGGGGCCUUCGGGCCUCUUGCCAUCGGAUGUGCCCAGAUGGGAUUAGCUAGUAGGUGGGGUUACGGCUCACCUAGGCGACGAUCCCUAGCUGGUCUGAGAGGAUGACCCGCCCCCACUGGACCUGGGACACGUUCCGGCCUCCAAGGGGGGGCGGCAUUGGGAAAUAUGGCCCAUGGGGCGCAAGCCUGAUGCAGCCAGGCCGCGUGUAUGAAGAAGGCCUUCGGGUUGUAAAGUACUUUCAGCGGGGAGGAAGGGAGUAAAGUUAAUACCUUUCCUCAUUGACUUAACCCGCAGAAGAAGCACCGGCUACCCCCUU